rnacentral:rRNA from 1 species
CCUACGGGAGGCAGCAGUAGGGAAUCUUCCACAAUGGACGAAAGUCUGAUGGAGCAACGCCGCGUGAGUGAAGAAGGGUUUCGGCUCGUAAAGCUCUGUUGGUAGUGAAGAAAGAUAGAGGUAGUAACUGGCCUUUAUUUGACGUUAAUUACUUAGAAAGUCACGGCUAACUACGUGUCAGCAGCCGCGGUAAUACGUAGGUGGCAUGCGUUGUCCGGAUUUAUUUGGCGUAAAGCGAGUGCAGUCGGUUGGAUAAGUCUGAUGUUAAAGCCUUCGGCUCAACCGGAGAAUUGCAUCAGAAACUGUUUAACGUGAGUGCAGUAGAGGAGGGUGGAACUCCAGGUGUAGCGGUGGAAUGCGUAGAUAUAUGGAAGAACACCAGUGGCGAAGGCGGCUCUCUGGUCUGCAACUGACGCUGAGGCUCGAAAGCAUGGGUAGCGAACAGGAUUAGAUACCCUUGUAGUC